GUAAUAUUGAUUUCUUGUACGACGAUAUGGGUUGUGUCGAGAUGUGUAACAAUGCCAAUUCCGCAUUCCACUCCAGUAUGUCUCCCAGAAUAAGCUUCACUGUGUUCCUAAUCAUUUCCCAAUAUGGGGUGAUAUCUCUGCACUUCCACCAGAUGUGUAGCAACGUGCCGCGUCUUUCCUGGCACCUCCAGCACACCUGGGGAAUUGAUGGGAAUAUUCGGUGUAGUAAAGUUGGUGUUCUAUACCAUAGGGAGAGCAAUUUGUAAUUCAUUUCCUGGUAAUAGGAACUCAUAGAGCUCUUAUGCUGCCACAACAUCGCUUUAUCCCAUUGCUGGGUUAUGAGUAAUUUUCUGAGUUGUUCCUCCCAUUGCCGUUUAAACGUCAUAGCUGUAGGCGUGCCUCCGAUUAGUAGAUGUUGAUAUAGUGC